AAACCCAAUGUGAACCAUACCAAACUGUUGCCUCGGCGGGGUCACGCCCCGGGUGCGUCGCAGCCCCGGAACCAGGCGCCCGCCGGAGGGACCAACCAAACUCUUUUCUGUAGUCCCCUCGCGGACGUUAUUUCUUACAGCUCUGAGCAAAAAUUCAAAAUGAAUCAAAACUUUCAACAACGGAUCUCUUGGUUCUGGCAUCGAUGAAGAACGCAGCGAAAUGCGAUAAGUAAUGUGAAUUGCAGAAUUCAGUGAAUCAUCGAAUCUUUGAACGCACAUUGCGCCCGCCAGUAUUCUGGCGGGCAUGCCUGUCCGAGCGUCAUUUCAACCCUCGAACCCCUCCGGGGGGUCGGCGUUGGGGACCUCGGGAGAACUAAGGCCCGGAUCGGGGCCCCGAAAUACAGUGGCGGUCUCGCCUGCAGCCUUCUCCUGCGCAGUAGUUUGCAGGGAGCGCGCCGCGUCCAGAAAACACUCCCAAUUUCUAAAAUGUUGACCUCGGAUCAGGUAGAAAUACCCGC
rnacentral:sRNA from 1 species